GGGUAUUGUUUGCCACCGCUGUCAUGGAAUUGGUCACGUGAAGAAGGAUUGCCCGAGUCAGCGAACAUACAUUGCUACGGAUGAUGGCUACAUUAGUGCUUCCGACGGUGAGGGUGAUGAUGAUGACUCCAGUGAUGUUGCUGCUAAUGAUGAUGUCAUGCUUGGUGCUGAUGCUACGGUGAACCUUCGAAGCAUCAUGGUGCAGCGUGUUCUUAGUUCUCAGCCUGAAUCAUAAGAGAAGCAGCAACGCAAUAAUUUGUUCUAGACUUUCUUCUCCAUCGAGAAUCGGCGUGCACGUGUUAUUAUUGAUGGUGGAAGCUGCAAUAAUUUGGUGAGUUCAGAUUUGGUCAAGAAGCUUGGCUUGACCACACGUCCACGGCCACAUCCAUACCACAUUCAGUGGAUCAAUGAUUCAGGCAAGGUUAAGGUAACACACAUGGUACGAGUGCAUUUCUCCAUUGGUAUGUAUUCUGAUUAUGCGGAUUGUGAUGUAGUACCUAUGGAAGCUUGUUCUCUUUUGUUGGGUAGACCUUGGGAAUAUGAUACUGAUGCAUGUCACCAUGGUAGGAGUAAUACAUACACUUUUAGGCAUAAAGAUAAAAACAUUACUUUGCUACCUUUGACUCUUACUGAAAUUGUACAAGCUGAUAAAGAUAGAGCUGCAAGUACCCAUAAGGAACCAACUAAUGAGACAGAAAUUCAGCAACAAAUUAAAUUGAAAUCUCCUAUCAUGCUUGCUACUAAAUCUUAUCUUCUUGAAACUCAUGCUACUGAUGCUUGUUGCUAUGCCUUGGUUUGCAAAGAUGCUUUUCUUUUCUAUUGAUGAUAUUGCUAGCAUUUUGUCUACAUUUGUGACUAAUCUUUUGUAGCAGUUCCGAGAUGUUUUUCCCUCUGAGUUACCUCCAGAACUUCCUCCCAUUCGUGGGAUUGAGCACCAGAUUGAUUUGAUUCCUGGAGCGAGCUUGCCCAACCGUGCUGCUGGACCAUUUAAAAUUUUCGAGAAGAUUAAUGACAAUGCAUAUAAACUUGAGUUGCCCCCAGAGUUUGGGAUUAGUCCCACCUUUAAUAUCAGAUUUAAAUCCAUAUUUGGGAAAAGAAGAUGAGCUUGAGUCGAGGGCGACUCCACUUCAAGAGGGGGAGGAUGAUGAGGACAUGGAUGUGUUUCCCUCUGAGAUACCCCCUGGAUUACCACCUGAGUUGCCUCUAGAUUUUCGGGUUAGUCCCACCUUUAACAUUUCAGAUUUGAAGCCAUAUAUGGGUGACGAAGAUGAGAUCGAGUCGAGGACGACUCCAAUUCAAGAGGAGGAGGAGGAUGAGGACAUCACUUCUAUACAUACAAUGAAUGCACGACAGCUAAAUCUCCAGGUAUGUUCUACCCUAGUCAAUUGUGUUUCAGAGCUUACGCUUGGGGCCAUGGAUGUUUUGAUGUUUAGGAACCUUGGAGAGGACCAGCAAGGACUUGGGAAAGGCCUAGGUGUUGAGGAGGAGCAGCAAGGGCGCCACAACAGGAAGGAGAUCAAGUCCGACUCGGCUGCGACUCCAUCUCGGGUUCCAGGACUAGUCUGCACUAAAAUGGACGCCCAAGAUGCAUCCAGACUCCGAUUGCAACGGACUUGAUAUGGUUGGAAAGAUAAGGAGAUCAUCUAACCAACCCAACUGGUUCCACCCUAAAAUUCGUCCAGAGUCAACGGGAAUCGUCGAAACAAGUCAGCGUUCAGAUUCUGUUUUGGUGCUGCGACACCGUCUGUUGGGCUGUGUAUCGCAUCGGAGCCCAUUAGGGGCGAGUCCAUGGGUCAUGCACGCUCUAAUACUCUAUUUAUUCAGCAGCUGCCGCCACAUUAGGGUUGAGUUUUGCUUAAGUUUAGAUCUGUCAAGAACAGUCGUCGUAGAUCGGUUUGUGAGACCCCAACUUGAGAGCUUAAUUUUUCAUCCGCAAUAUUCUAGAUUGUGUUUUUUCUUGUUCUUGCUUGGGUCUUCGAUUCUCAGGCAGGAAUUAGCCCUCGUGGUGAGGUCAAUCGCGCAGUGCAUGGUUGAUAACUAGAGGAGAAGUGGUGUUGCGAUUGCGGGGUUCUAGUCGUGUUGAUUGGAAGCCGGAUCGUUUGUGUGACAUCUCCACCAAAUCGAUAGUUACCUUCACCUGACGGAAAAUCGGGCACCCCCGUUCCUAUCAUGAUUUUUGACAAUAAACUUUCCAUUCUCAUAAGUCUCUUUUGGGCUGGCAUAUCCUAGAAUUCCCUAUAUCAAUUUGGUGGAUGGAGAUACUUUCAUCAGAUUAUUCUAAAACUGCUCCUGCUGUUCUACUCGACUGAAACCUCAAGUUCAGCUCCCCUUUUUAUUACCUCAAAUAACCAGCAAAGAAACUUUAAUGCCCCCAACACACAAAUAUCACUUGGUCCAAAUCUGCAGGUAGUAGAUAUCUGCAGAUAGUAGACAAAACAGAUAUGAUCUCUUUUGUCCACAUCUCCCAAACAAUCCAAAACUAGAUAUUUUGAAGCAGAGCUGAAGUCACUAGAUCCUUGGUUUUGCACCCCACCCGUAUCCCAACUCGAGCACACCAGUGGAGCACAGGAAAGGGAGAAAAAUCUUCCUCAAUUUCCUAUCCCAAACACUGAAUCAACUUCCCUGACAUCAGUGUCCCAUUGCACAGCUCCCAGUUUGGUCUACUUUAUCUCACAAACUUCCUCAACAACGGCCCCUUCUUCCCUAAUAAAAAGUACUCUAAAAUCAUUGCUCUUCCACUUUGGUACAAUACCCCUAGGCUGAAACCACAUAGAACAAAAAUUAUGGGACACAAAAGUAGAGCAAAAACACUAAGAGGUUCAGUUUCAGCUGAAGUGAAACAGUCCCCCAGACAGUCUGACAGAGGAAGUUUAGGUGCAUUUUACUCUAAAGUUUGUUAAGCACCAAGUCAGACCCACAUAACAAAACUUGUACUUCUUUACUUGGUCUCCAACCUUGUUACAUAGUUCUUAGCCUAACACCUGGUGGAAUGGUCACAAAAGUGUUCCCAAACUGACACCAAACAGUGCAACUUCAGUUUUCAGGCACUGAUUGAAAUUCAGUUUCUGUAACUGACAGUCCCAGUUUUAAGCAACUAUUACUCCACUUUUCAUGCAGUACAAAGUCAACCUUAUUUAAGAAAACUUGUUCACUAUUGUAUGGUCUUCCAUUUUACUAUAGAAACCAUAGUCCAUAACCCCAUAGAUUAGCCACAAGAAAGCUCCGAAGUUGAGCAAAACUCACUGAAAAUCAGUUUUAGAUAACUGAAUCAAGUCUGAAAUUAAAGUCUAACAGCAUGUUUUGGAACACCAUUUUCUCCCUGUUCUAAGCAUAUUCAAGGGCAUGAUCCUUACCAAGGGUUACUUCCCCAAUAUUUAUCUCCAAGUUUGCUACAGAAACUAGAGCCUAAAAGCACAUGGAUUGAUCACAGAACAAACAUAGUACGAUCGUGUACCUUGCUGGGUUGUCUUGGCCACGACGAGAUGGCCAAACUGACCGGCGUGGUCACUACUGGCAGGCCGAUGGUGUGCCAACACUUGUGCAGAUCAAACCUAAUGGCUGGAAAGAGACUAGCAUCAACUGGAGCACAAGGACUUCCACACUUUUACACUGGUCUUGGGCUAGAAUCCGAAGGCCAGGUGAAUCCUUCACUGAACCAGAUUUUAGAGCCACCAUAUAUAUAGAAAACGUCCCUAGACAUGGCCAACAUGCAGUGAAGCAGUGUGUCUCAGAGCGCCAGCAACAUAUGGACUUCAACACGUGGCUAACAUGCUCUCAUACCCCACCAGUACACAACCUUGGUUAGGACACUGAACCUGGUCCAUUUUCUCAACACAAAUAUCAGUUGGGGAUAUGCUUCAAUAUGUCCAAGAACAGGAUAUUCUUUCCAGCUGAGGGUGGGUUCUAGACCUCAGUUAUACCCUCCACACUUAUCUCAACUAUACACAUACAUGUAUCUCUUUUGUCCCCUACUGCAGACAGCAGACCAACCGAUCAAUUCUCCACUAUUUACUGCUCCAAAAUAGUCCAAAUUAGAUAUUUUUGGUGGAGAGUAGCCUCAAAGUAUCAGUCAUGCACUUCCCCCAUAAGACAGCUUAAUAUGUCAGUGGAGCACAGCAGAGAAAAAGAUUCUUCUUCAGUUACACCUCCACACACUGAAUCACUUCAUCAACCUGCUGCCCCAUUUAAUUCCUCCCAGUUCAAACCCUCUGAUCUUUCAAUUUUUCAUAGCAACAGACCAUGCUCCCUUCACAAAAGUUGUUCUCUAUACAUAGUUCUACCAACUUGGUAUAGAAAUCACAGGUUGAAAAUAUUUAGAGCAAGAGUUAUUGCAAUCCAAAGUUAAGCAAAACACUCAAAAUUCAGUUUUGGAUUUAUUAAACAGCACAAUACUGGGUCUGGCAGAGAGUUUUGUCACCCCUUUUUCUCUAGAUUACACACAGUAACAAGUCAACCCUUUGCAUAAAAGUUGUUCCCCUUCAUAUGGACUUUGACUUUUUUACAGAACUCGUAACCAAAAUCUCCAUAGAUUAAUUAUCAUAGAGCUCCAAACUGGACAACUUGCUGCCAUUCAGGGUUCAGAACUGAAUUAAAAUUCAGUUAUUAACCAACCUGACAAUCCAAUCUUUGAGGAACUAUUUCUGCACUUUUUGUAUGGGAUCAGGUCCACCACCCUAUAAGAAAGUUGUUCCACAUUAUAUGGUCUUCACUUAUUCUACAAACACCACAGCACAAAACCUUAUAGAAUAGCCACAAAUAGGCUUCAAAACUGCUAUCAAAACACUGAAAUUCAGUUACUGUUUCCAAUAUGAAUAUUCAGAAACACAGCAGCACCACUUUGAACCACUCUUUUUCUUGGGUUCCAAUUGUUUCUAGGGGCAAGUUUCUCAGUAAAGUUUAUACUCCUAUAGUUCCUCUACAAGUUUUAUAUAGUGACCAUUAACCAAAGCCUCUUGGAUCCCAAACUACAAUAGCCCAAAGUUUGCUCCAAUUGCUGAAAUUCAGACUGAAUUUCACUGUCUGAAAUCCCCACUUUCAGACAACUCUACUUUAGGCCAGCUUUUCUCUAGGUUCCAAAUAGCUUUAGGGCUAAGUGUAUUAACAAAACUUAUACUCCUCAUGUAUCUCUAUAACUUUGUUAUAAUGAUCAUCUUCAAACAGUUUAUAGAUCCAAAGUUAUGAGGACCCAAAAACAGCUAGUUGAUAUUAUUUUCAGCAAACUUCAAAUCUGAUUCAAAACUGAAUUAAACUUUUUACUCCAACUUUUCCUCUAAAACUUGGAAUUCUCCAUACAUAAAAGUUGUUCAACUUACCAAAAUCUACAACUUUGAUAUAUGGACAACUAGCAAAUUCUCUCUAGAUUUAAAACUCCACUUUUGGGCUAGUUGAGGGUUUCAAAUGUGACUCCUUCUCAUCUAGUGAUUUAUCAACUCAAUCCAUACUCCUAAAAGCUAAGUGACUCCCCUUAAUCUCAAAUUCAACUCUAGUAUAUGAAGCUCAUGUCCAAAGUGUCCUUGGUUUAGGAGUUGUUUUGUUUAUCCACAAUUCCAAGCAAGGUUUUGAAAUCUCACUUAAGGUUUUUAAUGUUAAUCCAGUUCCUCAAUUAAUUCUUCCACUCAACCCACCUUUGAAAGCAAAGUUGCUCUAGGUCCUAAGUCUUACCUUUAAUACUUUAAAUUCCAAGCCAACUUAUUACUUGCUCAAGAGACGACUUCUCUUCCCAUGUCUUAAGCAAAGUUCUUAAUCUGAGCCCUAUACUCUAAUACACAACACCAUAUUCACUGAAAUUUUUUGACCAAGUGGAUGCAUUCUAGGUAUAUCAAACAAGAUAAUGCAGAUGCUUAUGAUGGCAUGUCAGAGUUUUAGUUAACGUAACACCAGGGGUGUUACAGUCUUCCCCCCUAAAAAGAAAUCUUGUCCCGAGAUUUAAAACUCUAGGCUAGGUAAUGGAAAAGAAAAUGUGUCACUGGCUUAUUUCCCAUUACUCCUAUAAGGCAAGGGUGUGUUUCUAUUGGUUUAUACCAGAAAUAAACUACACAAACCUUAGGUUUACAGGGCACUAGAAACUCAGGAACACGCUCUUCUAGAUACUCCUCCGAUUCCUAUGUGGUUUCAUCUUCCAUGGGUUGGUUCCACUGUAGUUUAUGAAACUUGAUAACUUUUCUUCAAGUGACUGAUCCUUUAAAUCCAAUCCUUUCAGGCAGUGGCCGUUUAGUCCAUGGUCCGUUGGAUGGUCAGUGCAAGGCCAGAAAUUGGAACACAUUGAUUCCGCUCGUUCCUGUCCUUCGCUUCAAGGCCUGUCCCUCGGUGUGGUCAGUACUCCAUACUGUCGGGCAGCAAAGCUUACACUUGUUCACUUAUUAUGAUGGUUCACCAGGGCCUCUUUCCUCCUCCCUUUUCUGCUCACUCGUAUGGGAUAUUCCAAGUAGGUUAAAUCUGGUCCAAGGUUAACAUCUGAAAUCUCAAUAACAUGCUUGGGGACUCGAAGACAUUUCUUUAACUGGGACACGUAGAACAUGUUGUGCACUGUUGACAAAUUCUUUGGCAACUGUACCUUAUAAACUACUAGUCCACCAAAUGAACUGAGUUCCAAGGCUUCACGAAUAGGAAAAGGUAGUAUAGAAAAGCAAAGAUAGAUAGCAUGAAUAGGAUGGAUGAAACAUGUACUAAGAUACUAUAUAGGGGGCUUAACUUAAAAUUGUAUGUCAUGAUGCGUGCUCGACCUAUUCGUCCUCACAAUUCUUGCCAACAUAUAGUGGCUUUCAUGCUCUAUGGCAGUGGCAUACCUACACUCCGUCAUUGAAUACAAGUCGCACUUUUCUAGGGUUUUAGUUAGUGUACCUGCAGAAAGUUGCAUUAUAGUUGUGGGUUAGUGGUUAGCAUCCUAAACUAAGCCACCUUAUAGUCCUUAACUUAACCAUAUACUAGUUGCACUUCGAGUAUCAGGAUUUGAUCAUAGAUUCUUAAGUUUUUCCAAAAUAGUUUGGACUCAAAAUCCUUUUGAAGCAUAUCAAAAGAUUACUUUAAUAUCCAUGCUAAUGGGGGAUCGCUCCGAUACCAAUCUGUGGCAGCCCUCCCAAGUUAUCAGGCCCAUAUGCACCAAUCCUUGCCUUGAUGGCCUCAGAUGGCUAUGCACGUGUACCAGGUAACUUAACAAGGCUAUCACGAGUUCAACCACUUGAACUCAUCAUCCCAAGGAUCCUCCACCAUACAUGCAUAUUACAGUAAUCACAUUCGAUACACACACUUCGAAGAUACGAGCGGAAGACUUUACAAACAUUCUUUACCUUUUCAAAACUCAAGUUUCACAUGUUUCGAAAGAGUAAUAUUUAUUACAAGUCCUGAUAUACUCAAAGUGCAUAAGUUAUUACAAAAGCAGGAAGGUAGAAACCCUCCAAAGCUCAUACAUAAACCUAGCUAGUCCUCCUCUAGAACUGGAAACGCCCUCCAGCCACAGGAACAACUAGAGUACUUCUCAUCACCUACAACAACAUGGGUUCGAAAACCCUGAGUACGGAGUGUACUUUUGCAAGUCUUACCCGACUAAGGAAAAAUGACUCCCAAGGAUAUGUUGGUUAAAUAGGAAUCAAGGAAAAGGCUUUAGCAAGAAUCAACUUAGAUACUUUUGCAGAAAUAGCUUACUAAAGUGAGUCCUUACUUUCAAUAUUUUAACACCAGAUUAAAUAUUAAUAAACUCUGGUUGUAUCUAGUCUAAUUUCACCAUCUCAUCAAUACAACAUCAUUUUUACUCAUAAUGUUUACAUCCUUAGGUUGUAGGUCGGAGAUCAAGUCUCCACUCUCCGGGGAUAUAACGGCGAUCCGAAUUGAUUUACUCAGCUGAGGAUCUCUAACCACACGACAUAUGUUUCUCGUAACUCUUGCUUAUGUCUAUCAUUCCCACGGAUCCUCCACUGCAUGAACAGGUCCGCGCUACCCGGGAGCACACCACCCUUUUUAGGCGGUCCUUUGCUAGGAGGGUACGUGCCACUCUCGCCAUCUCUCCACUCCUAGUGCGCGAUUGUCUUUUCAUGUAUGGAAUAGCCGGGUUCAAGCUUACCCUGUCCCAUAUCCAGGGCAUGUGGCCAGUUAAGAUAGUCCUUGAUCAUACAGGCCUACAUACGCAUCCGAUCCUUAAUUAACAUUGGUAGAACAUCACCUGUUCCUAGCCCAAGUCCCGAUUUAAGUACUUCAACCUUAGGAUUGUUUGUGUUCCUUAGGAUGAAAAGAGCAUUAUAGGGAACUUUGCAGUAAGAUCCCACCAUGCUCCCAAUGAAAAUAUUCUUGCAAGUAGAAGUCGUCCUUCCUCAGGAUAACCCCUGAGCUAGGCAUUAAUGCAAAAGACAACCUCUAUCCACAAGAUCUAAGCAGGGCUAAGCAUUUUUUGUAAAUCAUAUUUUGAUACUUCAUCAGAAGUAUCUAUAAAGGUAUGGAUAUCAAGGUAGGCAAUGCAUCCAAUAGUUUCCAAGCAACUCCUAUAAACUUAAUGUACAUUUCACUAGACUUAAAGUGUAUAAAAAUCUUUUAAAAACACAAGGAAGGGGUUGCAUGCACCGGGGCUUGUCUUAUUGCAGGAGAAGAUCCAAAGUCCUUCUAUCACAAUAACCAGUUAGAUGGAACCAACCACUGGAUCUACAGCACUGGAGCAGACUCCUCUUCAGGAACCACUUCUUGAAUUUCAACUUACUUUUAUGGGAGCUCUACAUGAAAUGAUAUGAAUAUGAAUGCUUAUGCUUUUGUAAUUUGCAACGAAGAUAGCAAAACAACUCUCUAGACUAUACCAAAAUCUAUGGUCUUUUAUGUAAACUUGUUUCUUCACCAACUAAUUCCUUUCAUCCACUAACCGCACCACUACGAUUCACACGCACAUCACAAAGCCCAAGUUGAUGGUGUGAACCACAAGCCUAUAAACAGUCGCGAACAAUCUUUCCUGGGACAUAAAACUAUGCUACCGAUUAAUCCAAACACACACGCAACCAUGCCAGUAGAGAUCAAACAACCAGUUUAAUGAGUUUCACCCGUAAGUAUAGAUACUAGAACACUACACAGAAACCGUGGAAUCGUACCAUGUUAUCCCAACUAUGGGAGGGCAGGAACAACCCCGGGCAUGGUCACCACAGCCAGUGGCAAGUAUGUUUCCAACAAAACCAAGGGUACUAGAUGGCAGAGAGGUGUUAGGGGGGUGACGUGGGUGUAGAUGAGUAGCAAGGCACAUAGGGGAAACCAGGAAAUCGUCGAGAGCACAAGCAAUUCAGUUUGGGCUCCAAACUAGCAUAACAAGAGGUGGCUUGAUGGAGGUCGAGCUGGGGCUAUUUCAGAGGGGAAAUGAGAAUUAACAAUCCCCAACACACACCUGCAUGUCUACCACGCAAGGUGGAAGCACAAGAAAAAAGUCCAGCACACCUUUACUGCAUGUAUGACACCUCAUGAACAGUGAAGCAGCUGAAUCAUCCAAGAGAUAGGCUUUACACCCUUCCUGCAUCUAUCCUUGGGGUGGUGAAUUUUUGACAAUAAACUUUCCUCUCUCAUAAGUCUCUUUUGGGCUAGCAUAUCCUAGAAUUCCCUAUAUCAAUUUGGUGGAUGGAGAUACUUUCAUCAGAUUAUUCUAAAGCUGCUCCUGUUGUUCUACUCGACUGAAACCUCAAGUUCAGCUCCCCUUUUUAUUACCUCAAAUAACCAGCAAAGAAACUUUAAUGCCCCCAACACACAAAUAUCACUUGGUCCAAAUCUGCAGGUAGUAGAUAUCUGCAGAUAGUAGACAAAACAGAUAUGAUCUCUUCUGUCCACAUCUCCCAAACAGUCCAGAACUAGAUAUUUUGCAGCAGAGCUGAAGUCACUAGAUCCUUGGUUUUGCACCCCACCCAUAUCCCAACUCGAGCACACCAGUGGAGCACAGGAAAGGGAGAAAAAUCUUCCUCAAUUUCCUAUCCCAAACACUGAAUCAACUUCCCUGACAUCAGUGUCCCAUUGCACAGCUCCCAGUUUGGUCUACUUUAUCUCACAAACUUCCUCAACAACGGCCCCUUCUUCCCUAAUAAAAAAUACUCUCCAAUCAUUGCUCUUCCACUUUGGUACAAUACCCCUAGGCUGAAACCACAUAGAACAAAAAUUAUGGGACACAAAAGUAGAGCAAAAACACUAAGAGGUUCAGUUUCGGCUGAAGUGAAAUAAUCCCCCAGACAGUCUGACAGAGGAAGUUUAGGUGCAUUUUACUCUAAAGUUUGUUAAGCACCAAGUCAGACCCACAUAACAAAACUUGUACUUCUUUACUUGGUCUCCAUCCUUGUUACAUAGUUCUUAGCCUAACACCUGGUGGAAUGGUCACGAAAGUGUUCCCAAACUGACACCAAACUGUGCAACUUCAGUUUUCAGGCACUGAUUGAAAUUCAGUUUCUGUAACUGACAGUCCCAGUUUUAAGCAACUAUUACUCCACUUUUCAUGCAGUACAAAGUCAACCUUAUUUAAGAAAACUUGUUCACUAUUGUAUGGUCUUCCAUUUUACUAUAGAAACCAUAGUCCAUAACCCCAUAGAUUAGCCACAAGAAAGCUCCGAAGUUGAGCAAAACUCACUGAAAUUCAGUUUUAGAUAACUGAAUCAAGUCUGAAAUUAAAAUCUGACAGCAUGUUUUGGAACGCCAUUUUCUCCCUGUUCUAAGCAUAUUCAAGGGCAUGAUCCUUACCAAGGGUUACUUCCCCAACAUUUAUCUCCAAGUUUGCUACAGAAACUAGAGCCUAAAAGCACAUGGAUUGAUCACAGAACAAACAUAGUACGAUCGUGUACCUUGCUGAGUUGUCUUGGCCACGGCGAGAUGGCCAAACUGACCGGCGUGGUCACUACUGGCAGGCCGAUGGUGUGCCAACACUUGUGCAGAGCAAACCUAGUGGCUAGGAAGAGACUAGCAUCAACUGGAGCACAAGGACUUCCACACUUUUACACUGGUCUUGGGCUAGAAUCAGAAGGCCAGGUUGAUGAGGACAUCACUAUGAGUACGACUACACCAGCAGCACCUCCACAUCAAGCGCCACUUCCUUCAUUAGUUGGGCCAAUCACUCGGGCCCGUGCCAGAGAUCUUAACUUCGUCAUGCUACUGAAGAAUGAGGGCCCAGAAGAAUAGACGACCAGCCCAACUGCGGCCCAUAGUGGACAACCUAGGGUUGGCCGCCCCUAGGGGCUGCGCCCCCUCUCUCUAUUUAUCCAGGAGCUGCGCCUCCUUUGUUCUUCGAGUUUUGUUUUACAUCUAGCUUUAGCUACCCCAGAACACGCACAAAUACGUGUUGUCCUCUGUGAUUCAGAACUCCACCUCGAGUGAUAUUAAGAUUGCUCGCAUCUUUUUCUUGUUCGUUCUUCGAUUGCGCACAGGAAACGAUCUUCGUGAUCAGGCCGAUCUCGCAUUAGCAAGGUCGGUAACCAUUGGGAGUUGGUUCAGCGAUUGCAUUGGCGCUUCGGGUUCGCUCGUCGUAGUCGGAUCGUGAGGGUCUACUUGCACCAAAUCGGAAUUAUCUCCACUCACCGAAAGAUCGGGCACUCCAGCUCUAUUAAGUGGUAUCAGAUUUCCAGGUUGAUCGGUGAGUUUAUCGAGUGUUUUUUUUCUCCUACAGUCCACAAAACCACAUAAAAAUUUAGGUUAGACCUUAUCCUAGCACCCUUUUGAGCCUCGCACUUUCUUUCAAUAAUCUGCAUUGUUGAAUUUGUGUGCUUUCAUGUCAUUUGUUACUGGUUGCAUUGUGUUAUUACACCAUUCAAACCCUAGCGCGCCGCCACCAUAUUCCGUUUGAUCACGCCACAAACCGAGUCAACGCCGCUUCCUUAUUUUUCUCCUUCGGUUACGUAAAAAACAGAAAAAAAACAAACCGAGUCAACACCGUUUCCUUGUUUUUCUACUUCGGUUACGUAAAAAAACAGAAACAAAAAAAAGAAAACGAAGGAGAAAGAAUACAAAGCGGUUGUCUCAUCUCGAUCGUUUUAAGCAUACCUUCCUUAAACCGGGCAUAACUUUUCGCUCGAUUGUUCAAAAAAUCUGAAUUUUUUACAGGAGCUUGUUGACACCAUUCUGAGGCCGGCCAAACUGGCCUAUGGCCUGUUUGGUUUCGAUAAAAUUGUCAAAAAAUUCAGGAAAAUAAAGAAAAAAAUUCAUCAAAGUUCUCGCACGCUUUUCAGAGAACUUCCUGAUUUUCUGUAGACCACAUCUGAACUCUGUUUUAGGUGAAACUUCGUGUAGCUCCUAUUUUGUUGCUCCUUAUGCUGAGAAAAAUAUCAAAAAAUCAUACAAAAAAAAAGAAAAACAAAAUCACUUGUGAUUCCUACUAGUGCCUUUUUGGCCUCGCUAGUACAAUAUUUACGGUACUGCCAUUCUGCUAGUUCCAUCCAUCCUUUGCACUUGUGGCCAGCAAUAUAGUUUCGUGUUUUGCACUAUAAUUCAACUUUGCAUUAUUGUUUGAUCGUGCUAAUCCUUGACUUGAGUGCAGCCUACCCAAAACUCCACAUAUUUCUACGACGAGAAGGUUUCUGUUUCUCCAGGCAAUCGCUCAUCCAAUCUUUCACCGGUUCCACCUGUUGGUUGCAGUUCACCACUGUGGCUUGGUAAGAACGGAUAAGAACUUGAUAACAGCAUUCCAUUGAGCGAGUUGUCACCACCAUUUUCCUGUUGUCGUCGGUUUUUCUCCUUUUGGUGUUUUGGUGUUUGUGCUAACUAUGGCAGGAGCACACGACACGGUGGAUGCCCAGUUGCUGGAAGUAAGGGGACAAGUUGAUGGACUUGCUGCUGACAUUAGGACGAUGCAUGAACGGCUUGAUUCAACGGUCAAUUCGACGACCGAGCGUUUCAACCAGCUUGACCUUGCUCAAACGGCGACUCGCACCACACUCGACACCAUCCUGGCACGCCUUGAUGCGUUGACCACAAAGAUGGAGCAGGACUACGGCGGUGAUACUGAGCAGGACGAUGGAGAUCGCCGUGGUCGUGCACGCCGUGUGGUUCGUCAUCCCCCUAAUGACUUAUUUUCUAAGAUUAAAUUUAAAAUUCCACCUUUUAAUGGCAAAUAUGAUCCUACUGCAUAUCUUGAUUGGGAGUUAGAGGUUGAACAAAAAUUUUCAUGCCAUGAUAUUGCUGCACAUUCUCAGGUUAAAGCUGCUAUUAGUGAAUUUAAUGAUUUUGCUUUAAUUUGGUGGCGUGAGUAUAAAAUGAAACAUCCCACUGCCAUUCCAACCACUUGGGAUCAGUUAAAAGCUGUGAUGAGACAUCGAUUUGUGCCUUCGUAUUAUGCUCGUGAUUUGCUUAAUAAAAUGCAGUGUUUUCAGCAAGGUUCUCAAUCUAUUGAGGACUAUUUCCAGGAGUUACAAAAAGGUAUGAUUCGUUGUGGGAUAUUGGAGGACAACGACGCUGCUAUGGCACGUUUUCGUGGUGGUUUAAACCGCGAAAUCCAGGAUAUACUUGAUUAUAAGGAAUAUUAUGAUAUGACUACUUUAUUUGAAUAUGCUUGUAAAACUGAACGUGAAGUGCAGGGACGCCGCUCGAAGCCAUAUUCUAACCCUUUUGCAGGACGAAGCUCGACAUCCACCUCAGCACCAGUUCCCUCUGCGCCAUCCACGUCCACCACUACUCCACGCGAUAAGAUGACCAAACCAGCCAGCAUUGCCCCACCCACAGGUCGUACACGGGAUAUUCAGUGUCAUCGCUGUAGAGGAUUUGGCCAUGUGAUUCGAGACUGCCCAAACAAGCGCACUUUGCUCAUUCGUGACGAUGGUGAGUACUCUUCCGCUAGUGAUUCUAAAGAAAUUGAACAUGCACUACCUGCCACUAACCAUGCAGCUCAGGCGGAGGUACAUGUCAACCCGGGCGACGCUGAUAGGUAUGAAAGUCUUGUUGUGCAGCGUGUUCUUAGUACACAGGUCGCUUUGCCCGAGAAGAAUCAGCGACACACUCUGUUCCAUACAAAGGGUGUUGUGGAGGAGCGGUCAAUUCGCAUCAUUAUCGACAGCGGCAGUUGCAACAAUUUGGCGAGUACCAUGUUGGUCGAAAAGUUGUCGUUACCCACUCGUAAGCAUCCAAACCCAUAUCACAUUCAAUGGCUUAAUGAUGGUGGUAAAAUAAAAAUCACGCGUUUCGUGCGUGUUCCUUUCUCCAUGGGUGCUUAUUCUGAUUUUGUUGAUUGUGAUGUUAUUCCCAUGGAAGCAUGCUCUUUGUUACUUGGUCGACCUUGGUAAUAUGAUACUGAUAGCUUGCAUCAUGGUCGUUCGAAUCAUUAUUCUUUCAUUUUUAAGGGUCAGAAAAUAAUUAUACAUCCAAUGACACCUGAACAAAUUGUUAAAGAUGAUCUUGCCCGAGCUACUAUAACUACUAAACAACUUGAUCCAUCACCCUCUGUUUCUUCUGAAAUCAAGUUGAAGGCUCCUAUUUUACUUGCUACACGUGCUGAUUUUGAUGAUCUACACUGAUGAGAACAUCACUAUGAGUACGACUACACCAGCAGCACCUCCACGUCAAGCGCCACUUCCUUCAUUAGCUGGGCCAAUCACUCGGGCCCGUGCCAAAGAUCUUAACUUCGUCAUGCUACUGAAGAAUGAGGGCCCAGGAGAAUAGACGACCAGCCCAACUGCGGCCCAUAGUGGAUGACCUAGGGUUGGCCGCCCCUAGGGGCUGCGCCCCCUCUCUCUAUUUAUAUAGGAGCUACGCCUCCUUUGUUCUUCGAGUUUUGUUUUACAUCUAGCUUUAGCUACCCCAGAACACGCACAAAUACGUGUUGUCCUCUGUGAUUCAGAACUCCACCUCGAGUGAUAUUAAGAUUGCUCGCAUCUUUUUCUUGUUCGUUCUUCGAUUGCGCAUAGGAAACGAUCUUCGUGAUCAGGCCGAUCUCGCAUCAGCAAGGUCGGUAACCAUUGGAAGUUGGUUCAGCGAUUGCAUUGGCGCUUCGGGAUUGCUCGUCGUAGUCGGAUCGUGAGGGUCUACUUCCACCAAAUCGGAAUUAUCUCCACUCACCGAAAGAUCGGGCACUCCAGCUCUAUCAAGUGGUAUCAAAUUUCCAGGUUGAUCGGUGAGUUUAUCGAGUGUUUUUUUCUCCUACAGUCCACAAAACCACAUAAAAAUUCAGGUUAGACCUUAUACCAGCACCCUUUUGAGCCUCGCACCUUCUUUCAAUAAUCUGCAUUGUUGAAUUUGUGUGCUUUCGCGUCAUUUGUUGCUGGUCGCAUUGUGUUUUUUCUCACCAUCCUUCUUUCUUCCUUGUUUUUCUCCUUCGGUUACAUCAAACCCUAGCGUGCCGCAACCAUCUUCCUUGUUUUUCUCCUUCGGUUACAUCAAACCCUAGCGUGCCGCAACCAUCUUCCUUGUUUCUCUCCUUCGGUUACAUCAAACCGAGUCAACGCCACAAACCGAGUCAACACCGCUUCCUUAUUUUUCUCCUUCGGUUACGUAAAAAAACAAAAAAAACAAACCGAGUCAACGCCGCUUCCUUGUUUUUCUCCUUCGGUUACGUCAAAAAACAGAAACAAAAAAAAAGAAAACGAAGGAGAAAGGAUACAAAGCGGUUGUCUCAUCUCGGUCGUUUUAAACAUACCUUCCUUAAACCGGGCAUAACUUUUCGCUCGGUUGUUCAAAAAAUCUGAAAUUUUUACAGGAGCUUGUUGACACCAUUCUGAGGCCGGCCAAAUGUUUGGGUUUCGACAAAAUUGUCAAAAAUAUUCAGGAAAAUAAAGAAAAAAUUCGUCAAAGUUCUCGCACGCUUUUCAGACAACUUCCUGAUUUUCUGUAGACCACAUCUGAACUCUGUUUUAGGUGAAAUUUUGUGUAGCUCCUCGUUUGUUCCUCAUUGUGCUGAGAAAAAUAUCAAAAAAUCAUACAAAAAAGAAAAACAAAAUCACUUGUGAUUCCUACUAGUGCCUUUUUGGCCUCGCUAGUACAAUAUUUACGGUACUGCCAUUCUGCUAGUUCCAUCCGUCCUUUGCACUUGUGGCCAGCAAUAUAGUUUCGUGUUUUGCACUGUAAUUCAACUUUGCAUUAUUGUUUGAUCGUUCUAAUCCUUGACUUGAGUGCAGCCUACCCAAAACUCCACAUAUUUCUACGACGAGAAGGUUUCUGUUUCUCCAGGCAAUCGCUCAUCCAAUCUUUCACCGGUUCCACCUGUUGGUUGCAGUUCACCACUGUGGCUUGGUAAGAACGGAUAAGAAUUUGAUAACAGCAUUUCAUUGAGCGAGUUGUCACCACCAUUUCUCUGUUGUCGUCGGUUUUUCUCCUUUUGGUGUUUUGGUGUUUGCGCUAACUAUGGCAGGAGCACACGACACGGUGGAUGCCCAGUUGCUGGAAGUAAGGGGACAAGUUGAUUGACUUGCUGCUGACAUUAGGAUGAUGCAUGAACGGCUUGAUUCAACGGUCACUUCGACGACCGAGCGUUUCAACCAGCUUGACCUUGCUCAAACGGCGACUCGCACCACACUCGACACCAUCCUGGCACGCCUUGAUGCGUUGACCACAAAGAUGGAGCAGGACUACGGCGGUGACACUGAGCAGGACGAUGGAGAUCGUCGUGGUCGUGCACGCCGUGUGGUUCGUCAUCCCUCUAAUGACUUAUUUUCUAAGAUUAAAUUUAAAAUUCCACCUUUUAAUGGCAAAUAUGAUCCUGCUGCAUAUCUUGAUUGGGAGUUAGAGGUUGAACAAAAAUUUUCAUGCCAUGAUAUUGCUGCACAUUCUCAGGUUAAAGCUGCUAUUAGUGAAUUUACUGAUUUUGCUUUAAUUUGGUGGCGUGAGUAUAAAAUGAAACAUUCCACUGCCAUUCCAACCACUUGGGAUCAGUUGAAAGCUGCGAUGCGACAUCGAUUUGUGCCUUCAUAUUAUGCUCGUGAUUUGCUUAAUAAAAUGCAGCGUUUUCAGCAAGGUUCUCAAUCUGUUGAGGACUAUUUCCAGGAGUUACAAAAAGGUAUGAUUCGUUGUGGGAUAUUGGAGGACAACGACGCUGCUAUGGCACGUUUUCGUGGUGGUUUAAACCACGAAAUCCAGGAUAUACUUAAUUAUAAGGAAUAUUAUGAUAUGACUACUUUAUUUGAAUAUGCUUGCAAAGCUGAACGUGAAGUGCAGGGACGCCGCUCGAAGACAUAUUCUAACCCUUUUGCAGGACGAAACUCGACAUCCACCUCAACACCAGUUCCCCCUGCGCCAUCCACGUCCACCACUACUCCACGCGAGAAGACGACCAAACCAGCCAGCACUGCCCCACCCACAGGUCGUACACGGGAUAUUCAGUUUUAUCGUUGUAGAGGAUUUGGCCAUGUGAUUCGAGACUGCCCAAACAAGCGCACUUUGCUCAUUCGUGACGAUGGUGAGUACUCUUCCGCUAGUGAUUCUGAAGAAAUUGAACAUGCACUACUUGUCACUAACCAUGCAGCUCAGGCGGAGGUACAUGUCAACCCAGGCGACGCUGAUAGGUAUGAAAGUCUUGUUGUGCAGCGUGUUCUUAGUACACAGGUCGCUUUGCCCGAAAAGAAUCAGCGACACACUCUGUUCCAUACAAAGGGUGUUGUGCAGGAGCGGUCAAUCCGCAUCAUUAUCGACAGCGGCAGUUGCAACAAUUUGGCGAGUACCAUGUUGAUCGAAAAGUUGUCGUUACAAACUCGUAAGCAUCCAAACCCAUAUCACAUUCAAUGGCUUAAUGAUGGUGGUAAAAUAAAAAUCACGCGUUCCGUGCGUGUUCCUUUCUCCAUGGGUGCUUAUUCUGAUUUUGCCCGAGAAGCAUGCUCUUUGUUACUUGGUCGACCUUGGCAAUAUGAUACUGAUAGCUUGCAUCAUGGUGGUUCGAAUCAUUAUUCUUUCAUUUUUAAGGGUCAGAAAAUAAUUAUACAUCCAAUGAAACCUGAACAAAUUGCUAAAGAUGAUCUUGCCCGAGCUGCUAUAACUGCUAAACAACUUGAUCCAUCACCCUCUGUUCCUUCUAAAAUCAAGUUGAAGGCUCCUGUUUUACUUGCUACACGUGCUGAUUUUGAUCAUCUACACGGUGCUCAUUUGCCAUGCUAUGCACUUGUAUGCUCUAGUGUCCUCAUUUCACUUGAUGAUGCACCAUCUUUGGCUAUUCCCCCUAUGGUUGCUAACCUUUUGCAGGAGUACGCUGAUGUCUUUCCCAAAGACUUACCACCGGGUCUCCCACCGCUUCGUGGCAUUGAGCACCAGAUCGACCUCAUCCCCGGCGCACAGCUUCCGAACCGCGCACCGUACCGUACAAAUCCGGAUGAGACGAAGGAGAUUCAGCGCCAGGUACAGGCGUUGCUUGACAAGGGAUACAUUCGUGAAUCUCUUAGCCCUUGCUCUGUUCCUGUGUUACUUGUUCCCAAGAAAGAUGGGUCAUGGCGUAUGUGUGUAGACUGUCGUGCUAUUAAUAACAUCACUAUUCGUUAUCGAUAUCCUAUACCACGCCUUGAUGAUAUGCUAGAUGAGCUUAGUGGUGCCAUUAUUUUCACUAAGAUUGAUUUGCGUAGUGGUUACCACUAGAUUAGAAUGAAACUGGGUGAUGAAUGGAAAACGACUUUUAAAACGAAAUUUGGUUUAUAUGAAUGGUUGGUUAUGCCGUUUGGAUUGACUAAUGCUCCCAGCACUUUUAUGCGAGUGAUGAAUGAAGUUCUGAGGCCCUUCAUAGGAUUGUUUGUGGUUGUUUAUUUUGAUGAUAUCCUUAUUUACAGCAAAUCUAAGAAAGAGCAUUUGGAACAUUUAAGUGCUGUUUUUGAUGCAUUGCGUGCUGCCCAGUUAUUUGCUAACAUGGAAAAAUGCAUCUUUUGCACACGACGUGUCUCGUUUCUUGGUUAUGUUGUUACUCCACAGGGCAUUGAGGUGGAUAGCAGCAAGAUUGCUGCCAUUCGGGAGUGGCCUACACCGACGACGGUCACACAAAUUCGGAGCUUUCUUGGACUUGCCGGAUUCUACUGCAGAUUUGUUCGUGAUUUUAGCUCCAUUGCAGCGCCUCUACAUGAGCUUACAAAGAAAGAUGUGUCGUUUGCUUGGAGUGAUUCGCAGGAGGAAGCGUUCAGCACUUUGAAAGAUAAUUUAACCCAAGCUCCCCUAUUGCAAUUGCUUGAUUUUAAUAAAGUGUUUGAGCUUGAAUGCGAUGCUAGCUGUAUUGGGCUAGGUGCUGUUUUGUUACAAGAAGGAAAACUAGUUGCUUAUUUUAGUGAAAAAAUAAGCGGUGCUAGUCUGAAAUAUUCUACUUAUGAUAAGGAGGUUUACGCUUUAGUGCGCACUUUGCAUACAUGGCAGCACUAUCUUUGGCAUCGUGAGUUCAUAAUUCAUUCUGAUCAUGAGGCUUUAAAACAUAUUCGUACCCAAACAAAUCUGAACCGUCGUCAUGCUAAAUGGGUAGAAUUCAUUGAGUCUUUUCCUUACAUUAUUAAACACAAGAACGGAAAGGACAAUGUUAUUGCUGAUGCUUUGUCUCGUCGCUAUACCAUGUUGUCACAGUUAGAUUUUAAAAUCUUUGGUUUGCACACUGUGAAAGAUCAAUAUGUUGACGAUGCUGAUUUUAAAGAUGCUUUCGGCCAUUGUAUUAAUGGGAAACCAUGGGGCAAAUUUCACAUGCAGGAUGGGUUCCUGUUUCGCGCUAACAAGCUGUGUGUUCCAGCUAGCUCGGUUCGUCUUUUGUUGUUACAGGAAGCACAUGGAGGCGGUCUCAUGGGGCACUUUGGCGUCUACAAGACACAUGAGGUGUUGGCUGCCCACUUCUUUUGGCCUCGGAUGCGCGCUGAUGUUGAGAGCCUUGUUGUACGCUGCACUACUUGUCAGAAAGCUAAGUCACGGUUGAACAACCAUGGUUUGUAUAUGCCUUUGCCUGUUCCUACUUCCCCUUGGAUUGAUAUUUCGAUGGAUUUUGUUUUGGGAUUGCCUAGAACUAAGAAGGGGAGGGAUAGCAUAUUUGUGGUUGUUGAUCGAUUCUCCAAAAUGGCUCAUUUCAUACCUUGUCAUAAGACUGAUGAUGCUAGCAAUGUUGUUGAAUUGUUUUUUAGAGAGAUUAUUCGUUUGCACGGUAUUCCCAAUACAAUAGUCUCGGAUCGUGAUGCUAAGUUUCUCAAUCAUUUUUGGAGAUCUCUGUGGAAUAAAUUGGGAACUAAAUUGUUGUUUAGCACCACUUGUCACCCUCAGACUGAUGGUCAAACUGAGGUAGUUAAUCGAACUUUGUCUACCAUGCUUAGGGCUGUUUUAGACAAAAAUUUGAAACGUUGAGAGGAUUGCUUGCAUCAUGUUGAGUUUGCUUAUAAUCAUGCAACACAUUCUUCUACAAAGAUGUGCCCUUUUCAAAUUGUUUAUGGUUACUUUCCUAGGGCGCCUAUUGCUUUGUUUUCGCUUGAUGCUGCGGACGCCCCACACAUAGAUGUUGUUGCACAUGUUGAACAAAUGAUUAACCUCCAUGAACAAACUCAACAAAACAUUGCUGCUACUAAUGCAAAAUAUCAGGUUGCUAGUAGUAAAGGAAGAAAACUUGUUACUUUUGAGCCAGGUGAUAUGGUUUGGAUGCACUUGAGAAAGGAUCGGUUUCCUACUUUGCAACGUUCUAAAUUAAUGCCUCGUGCUGCUGGUCCUUUUAAGGUGCUAACAAAGAUUAAUGAUAAUGCUUAUAUCCUUGACCUGCCUGCGGAAUUUGGUGUUUCCACUAGUUUUAUUGUUGCAGAUUUGAAACCAUAUAUGGCCGAGGAUGAGGAAUUGCCGUCGAGGACGACUUCACUUCAAGAAGGGGAGGAUGAUGAGGACAUCACUAUGAGUACGACUACACCAGCAGCACCUCCACGUCAAGCGUCACUUCCUUCAUUAGCUGGGCCAAUCACUCGGGCCCGUGCCAGCUUUAGCUACCCCAGAACACACACAAAUACGUGUUGUCCUCUGUGAUUCAGAACUCCACCUCGAGUGAUAUUAAGAUUGCUCGCAUCUUUUUCUUUUUCGUUCUUCGAUUGCGCACAGGAAACGAUCUUCGUGAUCAGGCCGAUCUCGCAUCAGCAAGGUCGGUAACCAUUGGAAGUUGGUUCAGCGAUUGCAUUGGCGCUUCGGGAUCGCUCGUCGUACUCGGAUCGUGAGGGUCUACUUCCACCAAAUCGGAAUUAUCUCCACUCACCGAAAGAUCGGGCACUCCAGCUCUAUCAUACACGGUGCUCAUUUGCCAUGCUAUGCACUUGUAUGCUCUAGUGUCCUCAUUUCACUUGAUGAUGCACCAUCUUUGGCUAUUCCCCCUAUGGUUGCUAACCUUUUGCAGGAGUACGCUGAUGUCUUUCCCAAAGACUUACCACCGGGUCUCCCACCGCUUCGUGGCAUUGAGCACCAGAUCGACCUCAUCCCCGGCGCACAGCUUCCAAACCGCGCACCGUACCGUACAAAUCCGGAUGAGACGAAGGAGAUUCAGCGCCAGGUACAGGCGUUGCUUGAUAAGGGAUACAUUCGUGAGUCUCUUAGCCCUUGCUCUGUUCCUGUGUUACUUGUUCCCAAGAAAGAUGGGCCAUGGCGUAUGUGUGUAGACUGUCGUGCUAUUAAUAACAUCACUAUUCGUUAUCGAUAUCAUAUACCACGCCUUGAUGAUAUGCUAGAUGAGCUUAGUGGUGCCAUUAUUUUCACUAAGAUUGAUUUGCGUAGUGGUUACCACCAGAUUAGAAUGAAACUGGGUGAUGAAUGGAAAACAGCUUUUAAAACGAAAUUUGGUUUAUAUGAAUGGUUGGUUAUGUCGUUUGGAUUGACUAAUACUCCCAGCACUUUUAUGCAAGUGAUGAAUGAAGUUCUGAGGCCCUUCAUAGGAUUGUUUGUGGUUGUUUAUUUUGAUGAUAUCCUUAUUUACAGCAAAUCUAAGAAAGAGCAUUUGGAACAUUUAAGUGUUGUUUUUGAUGCAUUGCGUGGUGCCCAGUUAUUUGCUAACAUGAAAAAAUGCAUCUUUUGCACACGACGUGUCUCGUUUCUUGGUUAUGUUGUUACUCCACAGGGCAUUGAGGUGGAUAGCAGCAAGAUUGCUGCCAUUCGGGAGUGGCCUACACCGACGACGGUCACACAAAUUCGGAACUUUCUUGGACUUGCCGGUUUCUACCGCAGAUUUGUUCAUGAUUUUAGCUCCAUUGCAGCGCCUCUACAUGAGCUCACAAAGAAAGAUGUGUCGUUUGAUUGGCGUGAUUCGCAGGAGGUAGCGUUCAGCACUUUGAAAGAUAAGUUAACCCAAGCUCCCUUAUUGCAAUUGCCUGAUUUUAAUAAAGUGUUUGAGCUUGAAUGCGAUGCUAGCGGUAUUGGGCUAGGUGCUAUUUUGUUACAAGAAGGAAAACCAGUUGCUUAUUUUAGUGAAAAAUUAAGCGGUGCUAGUCUGAAAUACUCUACUUAUGAUAAGGAGCUUUACGCUUUAGUGCGCACUUUGCAUACAUGGCAGCACUAUCUUUGGCAUCGUGAGUUCAUAAUUCAUUCUGAUCAUGAGGCUUUAAAACAUAUUCGUACCCAAACAAAUCUGAACCGUCGUCAUGCUAAAUGGGUAGAAUUCAUUGAGUCUUUUCCUUACAUUAUUAAACACAAGAACAGGAAGGACAAUGUUAUUGCUGAUGCUUUGUCUCGUCGCUAUACCAUGCUGUCACAGUUAGAUUUUAAAAUCUUUGGUUUGCACACUGUGAAAUAUCAAUAUGUUUACGAUGCUGAUUUUAAAGAUGCUUUUGGCCAUUGUAUUAAUGGGAAACCAUGGGGCAAAUUUCACAUAGAGGAUGGGUUCCUGUUUCGCGCUAACAAGCUGUGUGUUCCAGCUAGCUCAGUUCGUCUUUUGUUGUUACAGGAUGCGCAUGGAGGCGGUCUCAUGGGGCACUUUGGCGUCUACAAGACACAUGAGGUGUUGGCUGCCCACUUCUUUUGGCCUCGGAUGCGCGCUGAUGUUGAGCGCCUUGUUGCACGCUGCACUACUUAUCAGAAAGCUAAGUCACGGUUGAACAACCAUGGUUUGUAUAUGCCUUUGCCUGUUCCUACUUCCCCUUGGAUUGAUAUUUCGAUGGAUUUUGUUUUGGGAUUGUCUAGAACUAAGAAGGGGAGGGAUAGCAUUUUUGUGGUUGUUGAUCGAUUCUCCAAAAUGGCUCAUUUCAUACCUUGUCAUAAGACUGAUGAUGCUAGCAAUGUUGCUGAAUUGUUUUUUAGAGAGAUUAUUCGUUUGCACAGUAUUCCCAAUACAAUAGUUUCGGAUCGUGAUGCUAAGUUUCUCAGUCAUUUUUGGAGAUCUCUGUGGAAUAAAUUGGGAACUAAAUUGCUGUUUAGCACCACUUGUCACCCUCAGACUGAUGGUCAAACUGAGAUAGUUAAUCGAACUUUGUCUACCAUGCUUAGGUCUGUUUUAGACAAAAAUUUGAAACGUUGGGAGGAUUGUUUGCCUCAUGUUGAGUUUGCUUAUAAUCAUGCAACACAUUCUUCUACAAAGAUGUGCCCUUUUCAAAUUGUUUAUGGUUACAUUCCUAGGGCGCCUAUUGCUUUGUUUUCGCUUGAUGCUGCGAACGCCCCACACAUAGAUGUUGUUGCACAUGUUGAACAAAUGAUUAACCUCCAUGAACAAACUCAACAAAACAUUGCUGCUACUAAUGCAAAAAAUCAGGUUGUUGGUAGUAAAGGAAGAAAACUUGUUACUUUUGAGCCAGGUGAUAUGGUUUGGUUGCACUUGAGAAAGGAUCGGUUUCAUACUUUGCGCCGUUCUAAAUUAAUGCCUCGUGUUGCUGGUCCUUUUAAGGUGCUAACAAAGAUUAAUGAUAAUGCUUAUAUCCUUGACCUGCCUACGGAAUUUGGUGUUUCCACUAGUUUUAAUGUUGCAGAUUUGAAACCAUAUAUGGCCGAGGAUGAGGAGUUGCCGUCGAGGACGACUUCACUUCAAGAAGGGGAGGAGGAUGAGGACAUCACUAUGAGUACGACUACAGCAGCAGCACCUCCACAUCAAGCGCCACUUCCUUCAUUAGCUGGGCCAAUCACUCGAGCCCGUGCCAGAGAUCUUAACUUCGUCAUGCUACUGAAGAAUGAGGGCCCAGAAGAAUAGACGACCAGCCCAACUGCGGUCCAUAGUGGACGACCUAGGGUUGGCCGCCCCUAGGGGCUGCGCCCCCUCUCUCUAUUUAUCCAGGAGUUGCGCCUCCUUUGUUCUUCGAGUUUUGUUUUACAUCUAGCUUUAGCUACCCCAGAACACGCACAAAUACGUGUUGUCCUCUGUGAUUCAGAACUCCACCUCGAGUGAUAUUAAGAUUGCUCGCAUCUUUUUCUUGUUCGUUUUUCGAUUAUGCACAGGAAACGAUCUUCGUGAUCAGGUCGAUCUCGCAUCAGCAAGGUCGGUAACCAUUGAGAGUUGGUUCAGCGAUUGCAUUGGCGCUUCGGGUUCGCUCGUCGUAGUCAGAUCGUGAGGGUCUACUUCCACCAAAUCGGAAUUAUCUCCACUCACCGAAAGAUCGGGCACUCCAGCUCUAUCACAGGUGAAUCCUUCACUGAACCAGAUUUCAGAGCCACCAUAUAUAUAGCAAACGUCCCUAGACAUGGCCAACAUGCAGUGAAGCAGUGUGUCCGAGAGCGCCAGCAACAUAUGGACUUCAACACGUGGCUAACAUGCUCUCAUACCCCACCAGUACACAACCUUGGUUAGGACACUGAACCUGGUCCAUUUUCUCAACACAAAUAUCAGUUGGGGAUAUGCUUUAAUAUGUCCAAGAACAGGAUAUUCUUUCCAGCUGAGGGUGGGUUCUAGACCUCAGUUAUACCCUCCACACUUAUCUCAACUAUACACAUACAUGUAUCUCUUUUGUCCCCUACUGCAGACAGCAGACCAACCAAUCAAUUCUCCACUAUUUACUGCUCCAAAAUAGUCCAAAUUAGAUAUUUUUGGUGGAGAGUAGCCUCAAAGUAUCAGUCAUGCACUUCCCCCAUAUGACAGCUUAAUAUGUCAGUGGAGCACAGCAAAGAAAAAGAUUCUUCUUUAGUUACACCUCCACACACUGAAUCACUUCAUCAACCUGCUGCCCCAUUUAAUUCCUCCCAGUUCAGACCCUCUGAUCUUUCAAUUUUUCAUAGCAACAGACCAUGCUCCCUUCACAAAAGUUGUUCUCUAUACAUAGUUCUACCAACUUGGUAUAGAAAUCACAGGUUGAAAAUAUUUAGAGCAAGAGUUAUUGCAAUCCAAAGUUAAGCAAAACACUCAAAAUUCAGUUUCGGAUUUAUUAAACAGCACAAUACUAGGUCUGACAGAGAGUUUUGUCACCCCUUUUUCUCUAGAUUACACACAGUAACAAGUCAAUCCUUUGCAUAAAAGUUGUUCCCCUUCAUAUGGACUUUGACUUUACUACAGAACUCGUAACCAAAAUCUCCAUAGAUUAAUUAUCAUAGAGAUCCAAACUGGGCAACUUGCUGCCAUUCAGGGUUCAGAACUGAAUUAAAAUUCAGUUAUUAACCAACCUGACAAUCCAAUCUUUGAGCAACUAUUUCUGCACUUUUUGUAUGGGAUCAGGUCCACCACCCUAUAAGAAAGUUGUUCGACUGGUCUUCACUUAUUCUACAAACACCACAGCACAAAACCUUAUAGAAUAGCCACAAAUAGGCUUCAAAACUGAUAUCAAAACACUGAAAUUCAGUUACUGUUUCCAAUCUGAAUAUUCAGAAACACAGCAGCACCACUUUGAACCACUCUUUUUCUUGGGUUCCAAUUGUUUCUAGGGGCAAGUUUCUUAAUAAAGUUUAUACUCCUAUAGUUCCUCUACAAGUUUUAUAUAAUGACCAAUAACAAAAGCCUCUUGGAUCCCAAACUACAAUAGCCCAAAGUUUGCUCCAAUUGCUGAAAUUCAGACUCUGUCUGAAAUCCCCACUUUCAGACAGCUCUACUUUAGGCCAGCUUUUAUCUAUGUUCCAAAUAGCUUUAGGGCUAAGUGUAUUAACAAAACUUAUACUCCUCAUGUAUCUCUAUAACUUUGUUAUAAUGAUCAUCUUCAAACAGUUUAUAGAUCAAAUGUUAUGAGGACCCAAAAACAACUAGUUGAUAUUAUUUUCAGCAAACUUCAAAUCUGAUUCAAAACUGAAUUAAACUUUUUACUCCAACUUUUCCUCUAAAACUUGGAAUUCUCCAUACAUAAAAGUUGUUCAACUUACCAAAAUCUACAACUUUGAUAUAUGGACAACUAGCAAAUUCUCUCUAGAUUUAAAACUCCACUUUUGGGCUAGUUGAGGGUUUCAAAUGUGACUCCUUCUCAUCUAGUGAUUUAUCAACUCAAUCCAUACUUCUAAAAGCCAAGUGACUCCCCUUAAUCUCAAAUCCAACUCUAGUAUAUGAAGCUCAUGUCCAAAGUGUCCUUGGUUUAGGAGUUGUUUUGUUUAUCCACAAUUCCAAGCAAGGUUUUGAAAUCUCACUUAAGGUUUUUAAUGUUAAUCCAGUUCCUCAAUUAAUUCUUCCACUCAACCCACCUUUGAAAGCAAAGUAUUACCUUUAAUACUUCAAAUUCCAAGCCAACUUAUUACUUGCUCAAGAGAUGACUUCUCUUCCCAUGUCUUAAGCAAAGUUCUUAAUCUGAGCCCUAUACUCUAAUAGGGCAACACCAUAUUCACUAAAAAAUUUUGACCUAGUGAAUGCAUUCUAGGUAUAUCAAACAAGAUAAUACAAAUGCUUAUGAUGACAUGUCAGAGUUUUAGUUAACGUAACACCAGGGGUGUUACAAAGAUCUACGUGGUUGGAAUAUUAAAUUAUGAAUUGAUUAUUGUACAUCCAAUGAGAAAAUAUACUCUAAAUAAUCAAUUCAACCUUAACCUAGAUUAUACUUGACUAGAGAUCAUGUUUUAACCACAUUAUGAUUAUGGUUGGGUUAGUUUUGAUUUAGCAGAGUUAAUCUAGUAGACAUAGGAUGAAUAAAUUUCUAACUAUAAAAUCAUGCAAUAUGAUAUAAUUAAUGUUGUUACUGCGUAGAUAAUAUUUUUAUGAAGCAAACGUAACUGGAACGGAUUAAAUCGGAGUUAAGACGCAGAAGAUAUGAUUUUUUCUAAGGUUUUCGGGUUUAUCUUAUAGUUAAAAAUCAAUUUCUUGAUUUAUUCCAAGAAUUACCAAUGUCUCUGGAUGGCGGGUACAAUUUUCUAGGAACGCAAGGGCCAAAGUGUUAAAAACAGGGCCUAAUUGCAAGGUUCUUAGAACUGCCUAGCACUGCGGGUUGUUUAGAGAAAAACUCGGGGGGUCUUUGGAGCAAAGAUGUCAGCCGAAGGGUAAUGAGCCAACUGGGGUCGCCCGAUGAAGGAUCAAGGGCCGAGAUUAUACAGCGAAUCGGUAUGCAACCGCGUCCGCCCGAUCCAUAUCUAACGAUCCAGAUCACUCUAGCCGAAGCGUUAGCCACCAUUUAAUCUGGGUCGCCAGCAGCCAGAUCAAUGGUCGGGAUCUAAACACCGAAGAGGUAUGCCCCGUUCUAAUCUCCACCGUUGACUCCCAGAUCUAUGGCCAGGAAUCAUCGCCUAAGCCUAGCCGUCGAUCUCCAUCCUAACGGACGUGACAUCGUCUUGUUCCUCCCAUCGCCCAGGUAUAGGGCUGCCCGCGCGCCACACACGCGUUCGUAUCCUCCCGACGAACCGCAUGGCUGCGCAAGCAAGGGAAUUAGUUACCCGCGGUACCGCGUGCGGCGCAGCUAAAACCUACGCCCCGAGGAAACACUGAUGAAUCACAGGGACGUUCUCUUACCGUUUUCGAGGCACCAGUGUAGUUGUCCACGGAGACUGGUGGCGCGCCGGAUCUCUUGACGUCGACAACGAGGCACCCGGUCUCCGACACAGUGACCCCGUGGGCGAGUCCUCGCGUAGUGCAAGGAUGCACCAUUGUCUGGCACUGCGUGAAGGUUGCGGACGAGCUCAAUUCUCACCCGCGAAUGGACCCACGUCCUUCUACCCUUGUUUCUCUCUCUUAAUGGCUGCAAUCCAAGCAGCGCACACCCGCCGCUUUUGCUCCAGGUCGACCGAGACGGCCAACAGUUAGGACCAUCCAAUUUAUGGGCAAGCAGAGC
rnacentral:lncRNA from 1 species